UCUUUGCUAGUAUAUCGGUUAGUACACGUGCCUGUCAUCUCAUCAAUGAUGGUGGAACGCGCGAAAGCUGGGUUCGACUCCCAGGCAGAGAG